GAGUUAAACCUUAAGGAAAAAAUAUGAUUAUUUUUUUGGGGUUUUACAAACCUAAUCUUCUCUCUCUGUCAAUUGAGUUAUAUUCAGGUUUUCCAUUUGAUCAAGUUUGAGUAUUAUGGGUCGAAUAAAUUUGGUGUUAGAUUUGGGGGUUUCUGAAUUGAAGUCUGAACUGAAAAGGAUUUUUGGUUUUGUGGGUAUGUAAUUUAGGUUCGAUUAGAAGUUAUGGCUAAGAGCGAUUGAAACUGAGAUGUUGAAAACGUCCUGGACAAUCUUUAUCAUUUGGUUCAGUUUGGUGUUGAGGAGUAUAGUGCAGCUGAAAUGGUUAGAAUGGUGUUGGUGGUAAUGAAAGCAAGAGACAGAGAGACCUGAAAGUGGUAUUGCAGCUGAAAUGGUUCUCUUUCACAUUAAACUCAUGUAUUUCCACUAUACAGUCCAUACUACCACCAGUUGUGAGGAGUUACCUGUUCGCAUCCAUCACCAGCAUACAGGCAGCAGGGAGCAUAGAUAAUACAUCCCCAAGGCAGCAGCGGUUCGCAUACGCCACCACCACUCCAUUAUCAACAGGCCAUACCUUCGCCAACACCAUCAGUCCAUAUUCACCUCCACCUGCAGUUGUUUGGCUCAUGUCACUUUAUGUAUCCAAUUCAUUUACAGUAUAUUUUUUUUAAAAUAUAAGUCAAUUGCAGAGGGCAAGCACAUCUCUAACGCGAAGCGAAAAUAUUCUCUAAUUUCCAUGUUUUGUUCAUCAAGCACUUAUUUCACAUUGGUAGAUUUACCUGCUCUUACUUAGGUUGCAAUGGGUGAUUUAAGCAACUGCUGAUAAGGAUGGGGAAGUCAAGGAGAAGGUUGCAUAUAUGGAACAUGUUUAACGACAGUCGACCACAUUUAGAGUUGAAGUGUUUGGAUUGUUUAGCACAGUUAUAUGAAAAAGAACUCCUGGAGAUAAUCAGAAACUCAAUGAGUUUAUUCAUAGAGAGGAAGCAUUACAUGAUUAUACAACCAGCGUUACCACGACGUAUAUUACAAUGGUUUAGUAAUUUUGCUGGUACGGGCGAAUCUGAGCAUAGGAAAGGUGGGACGAUAUCUCAAUUUUCCCAUAUAUAUUAAUGGUGUUGAAAUGGGCCACAAAUUAUUUUCACGUGCCAGAAUGGUUGUCGUGGGCCUUUCACAAUUGGUUAAAUGAAUUUUGAUUAUAUGGGUGAGAAGUUCAGAAAAUGGUAACGCAUUUUAAAUUUUGGUUAGUCACUUUUUUGCGUAUCCAUGGUGCAGUGGAUAUAAUAUGUAAUUAAUCUUUGCUUUACAAUAUCCUAGCAAUUUAUCAAGUUUUUGCUGAUCAGCUAUUGGGCGCAGGCACAAUAUAAGAACUACACCGUCUACCCCAUUGCAUAGUCAUGAUGUCAUUGCUUAUACUGGACAACGGGGUAAUGAAAGACUAGGCAAUAAAUGUCAAAAAGCUGAUCAAGAAAGCAAAUGCGGCAAUUUGUCUCUUAGGUGAUCCGCUAAGGUUAAUUAGCAAGGUAUGACUAUGGAUUAUGGGGCUACAUCAAACAGUACAGUGUAUUCCAACCUCCGGCGUUUGACAUAACGAGUAUACCAACUUCUUUACGUAUAUGGAUGGGUUCAAGGGGUAAUGAUGCCUUAGAAGAUGUGACUGAUCCAGAGCAAACUGUGAAUGAGUUGAAGUCUAGACUGGAAUCGAUGUAUCUUGAAGAUUAUGGUCACGUCGACUUCAUCUUGAGUGUGAAUGCUUACAAAGAUGUAUACUGCCAUAUGAUUCCAAGUAUUAAGAAGCAGGCUCUUGGUCAAUUGGGCUAUUCCAUGCUUGAUAUGGAUUUGCUACUGAUAUUUUUUUUAUAAUACAUUCUAAGAAGAAGAGGAUACUAUAGUGAGAUAAGAACAAUAUGUGCCACGCAAGAUGUGCCACUUGAUAAGGAUGAGGAUAUUGCAACUGCAAUUUUAAUGUUGGUGUUACUUCUUACUACUUCAAACAGUAAAUAUCAGCCAGACUUACUUCUUAAUCCAGCAAACGUGUUAUUUAUCACUGUGAAUGCUCAAGAUAUAGACCAUACAACUCCAAGAUAUAGAUGAGGUUGUUGACGCUGUUUAGAGAUUUGGGUCUUGCUUAGAAUGGGGGCAGUUUCUUUUAUUUGUUGUUGCUACUGAUCGGUGAUGGGGAAUGAUUGUUGUACAGGGCGGAGGUGAGUACAUGACCGGAAUAUAAGUGUCCGUUGUUGAUUGGUAAGGAGGGGAUGUUGCUGUUAGCCUGUUACCAACAGUUACCGGGAUUGUGUUUCCACACACUGAAACAGAAUAUGGAUGAUAAGGCAGAAUAAAUUUCUAAACAAUUUCGUUGUACUA